rnacentral:tRNA from 1 species
GGGGGUAUAGCACAGUUGGUAGAAUGCUUGACUUGCAAGCACAAGGACCUGGGUUCAAUUCCCAGCACCCCCU